GAAAUAUUAGACAAAGAAAACUCACAGCCGAGCGAAUAAUUCCGACUCAACUGUACAUCAUGUUAUUUGUGGAAAACAAGACAAACACUUCAUCUGUGCAUCAGCUGCUGGUCAAGUGUGGUGAACUGGAGGAUUUGAGACAGAGCCUGAUGUCUUCUUCAUCGUCAGCGGUGCUUUAAUGGAUAGUAAAUCAUGGUCUUCCUCAAACUGAAGAACUGACUGUGUUCUGGAUCUUUCUGUGGGACCAGAAGCGUCUCCAGCACUGAAGCCGUGCCAUAUUUAGUUGGGUUUUUUUGUAUACAGUAUAGUUUUUCCUUCAUCAUUUCUGAACGCUUUGAAUGAAUGAUGCCUUACUGUAUUUACUGUCCUCACUGCAGCUGGAGCUUCAACAGAGAAUGUACAAAUCAUGUCAGUUAUUAUUAUUAUUAUUAUUAAAGUUAUGAUCAUGAUGCUCUCCUGGCAGUCUGAAGGGAUACAGGAAUGAGCUGUUUUUAUGUUUCUGCAAUAAUAAAUGAAGCGUCACUAAAUGAACAAUUAUAAACAAUUAUCCUUCAUAGUGCACUCAAAAUACUGCAUUUGCAACUUUGCAUGUGAUGUUACUUCAUUUAGCCAUUUCUAUUAAAAAUCAAGAAAUUGUUUGAAAUUGCAAA
rnacentral:lncRNA from 1 species